AAUUAUCCCAGAGAAUUGUUUAUAUUAAAACUGGGCUAGGAGUUGUUUGAACUGCAAUUGCCCCCAAAAUUGGGGGAUAAAUAAACAUUUUUUGAAGACAUUUCUUUGGGAAACCCCGU
rfam:Carollia perspicillata clone 29G20, complete sequence.